rnacentral:lncRNA from 1 species
AUGUCUGUCUUUAAAUGAGUUUUCUUUUCUCCAGCUUCAAAACUGCCUGUUGCUCUGGUUUUCUCCUCUAGAUUACUAAUGUCUCUCCUAAAAUGAGGCAGCUAAUCCAGAAGAAGGCAAAGGCAACAGAGUACUUCACUAUGAUCUGUUCAUCUUGGGUAACCUUGCAUGGCAUAGCUUAUAGCUUCCUUUGCCACAACAAGGCAAUGAUCAAUGGGGGCCUUUUUAAGCAAACAGGUGUUGAAUGACUAUCUCAGGGUCACAUAACUGUUCUUCCUCUGGAUGCGGAUAGUGCUCUUUCUCAUAAGUCCCUCAGAAUUGUCCUGGAUCAUUGCAUGGCUGAUAGUAGAGAAGUCCAUUAUAUUCUAUUGUGUCAGUGUGUCCAGUUCUGUGUAUAAGGUUCUCCUGGUUCUGGGGAGCCUCUUUUCUGAAUGAUCUCCUGAAGCAGCCCAGGCCACUCAUGGAUAAUUUUAAUUAUUAGGUACUUCUUCAUGACAACAAGCCUUUAUGACAUUAAAUCUCUUUGAAACUUCCAUCCAUUACACCUAUUUAUGCGCAGCACUUAGCACUAUCCCUGGUGCAUAGUAGGUGCUUACUGAUUGUUUAUUGACUGACUGAACACAAGCAGAGCAAGUCAAAUCCUUCCUUCUCUUGCCAGACCUAUAAAUACCAGCUAUUAUCCACCUCACCCUCAGAGUCUCCUCUUCUCCAGUCCAAUCAUUCCCAACCCUUUCAAAUGAUAUUCUCAUAGGGCAUGAAUCCAAGGGCUUCAUAGUUCCAAUGACUUCUAUAUACUCCAUUCCCUCAAUAUCACAAAUGUAUGUUCUUCUCUGAAAUGUGGCACCCAUAACUGAACCAAGAGCUGCCAAUACAGCUGAACAGAAUAAAAUGGAACUCUUACUACUUUCUAUUCUGAUC